rnacentral:rRNA from 1 species
AUGCACCCACCCCUCUCCUCCGCUGCCUCCACGGCGGCCGGAGCCCAAGAUCCACCUUCAAGCCCCAACCACCGCUCCCCUGCCGAUGCUGCAUCUCUCCUGCAGCUACUGGCAUCCCCGCUGGCCGGCCUAUCCUCGGCGUCCCCUUGCCUGCGUAAAGAUGCGGACCUGGUGGAGAUCCCCUCUCCAGAUCUCCCCUCGGCCACCAUUUUGGGUACGAUUCAAAGCCGUAUCCCGCCAGCGGCAGUGGAAUCUUGCCCUGCUUCGGCUCCGGCCGCACAACCCAGGCUGCGCUCGCUGAUCGUCGCGCCUGACGGUUGGGCUGCGCCCUCCUCGGUGGGUUGCUGCGCCGCGCCGCGCCUCCAUUCCAUUAUUGUGGCACCAGAGGGUGGGUUGCUGCCUGAUGCCGCUCUGCCUGCCGCAGCUGGGCAGCAGCCUGCUACUGGAUCCGGCGAUGCUGCUGCCGAGGAUAGCUCCCUUGGAUGGCAACAAGUGCGCUCCAGGAAGGAGAAGCGCAAUCCGCAGGCCCCCGUUUUGGGAGAUCCGCGGCAGGGGCGACAGGGCCGGCGUGCUCCGCCCUCUGAUCCCAUGGCUUUGAAGCAGCAUCUCGCGUUUAAGGCUAGACUCCGCGGCAAAUGUUUUCGCUGCCUGUCAAAGCGCCAUCGCCUUGCUGACUGCCGUGAACCUCUCCGCUGCAUUCGGUGCAAGGGCAUUGGCCACUUUGCGCGUACUUGCUCUGCUUCCCUCCCCUAG